AACCUUUCAUCAAGGCGGAACGGUGCUUAUAUUGGGGUCGUCGCGCAAGCGACUAUGGCGAUAAAGGCGCGUGUAAUAACCAGACCGGACCCGGGUGCGAAUCCCGGCGGCUCCACCAACUUCUUCCGGCUCGUUGGGCCGCGUUCAUGGGGCCGAAUUAGGAUCGACGGCUGGCUAAAGACGUAGCUUUCGCCCGCAUGGGCUCCGUUAUCAGCCCAUUGUUAAAGUUGCCAACGACAACUUUGCUGAAGAGGCCGUUCUCGCUGCGUAAUGCAGCGCGAGCGUCUCGCUCUUAAGUCCUGACCUCUAGCAUGGUCAGGCGGGGUUCGGAGGGCGCCUGGCAACAGAAGCCCUCCACU
rnacentral:tmRNA from 1 species